rnacentral:lncRNA from 1 species
GCUAGGUUACUAUCUAGUAAUCCUCUUGCUUAUCUUGGGCUUCUGGUAUUUUCAAUUCCAUUUAGUGAGGGUUGGAGCUACUCUGAUGUGUCUAGUUCUGUACUAUAUUAAAAGUCUAGCCAAAAAGAGGUGGCUAUUCAUUAUAAGCGGGAGCUAAGUGUUUAAAAAAACACAUGCAAUGAGAGAAAUAGACCAAAUCAUCAGGAAGGAUGGUGUCAGAAAACUUUGUCUGACUUAUUUUAAUUCCUUUUUUUAACUAUCUGACUGCAUCCUAACAGAGCUGAAGAAGAUAAAGAAAAAUGAAAAGACAAGAAAAGAGAAAAGAAGAGAGAGAGCGAGAAAGAAGAAAGAAAAAAAGAAAGGAAAGAAAGAAGGAAGGAAGGAAAGAAAGAAAAAAGGAAAGAAAGAAGAGAGAAGAAAGAGAAAAGAAAAGGAAGAAAGAAAAAGAAAAGAAACUCUCAAUAAAUGAGAAGGGUCAUUCGUCCAUUGAGGCAGGCAGGAAGUCACUGUAUAUAUUUUACACAGAUUGAAAUGGAAGACCUCAAGAAGAGGAGACUCAGU